rnacentral:piRNA from 1 species
UGAAACUACUCCAUUCAUGCACUGUCUU